AGAGUUUGAUCCUGGCUCAGAUUGAACGCUGGCGGAAUGCUUUACACAUGCAAGUCGAACGGCAGCACGGAGAGCUUGCUCUCUGGUGGCGAGUGGCGAACGGGUGAGUAAUAUAUCGGAACGUGUCCAAUAAUGGGGGAUAACGAGUCGAAAGAUUCGCUAAUACCGCAUACGCCCUACGGGGGAAAGCAGGGGAUCGUAAGACCUUGCGUUAAUGGAGCGGCCGAUAUCUGAUUAGCUUGUUGGUGAGGUAAAGGCUCACCAAGGCGACGAUCAGUAGCUGGUUUGAGAGAACGACCAGCCACACUGGAACUGAGACACGGUCCAGACUCCUACGGGAGGCAGCAGUGGGGAAUUUUGGACAAUGGGGGCAACCCUGAUCCAGCCAUUCCGCGUGAGUGAAGAAGGCCUUCGGGUUGUAAAGCUCUUUCGCAAGGGAAGAAAACUUAUGAUCGAGUAAAUCAUGAGGUUGACGGUACCUUGAUAAGAAGCACCGGCUAACUACGUGCCAGCAGCCGCGGUAAUACGUAGGGUGCGAGCGUUAAUCGGAAUUACUGGGCGUAAAGCGUGCGCAGGCGGUUUUGUAAGUCGGAUGUGAAAUCCCCGGGCUCAACCUGGGAACUGCGUUCGAAACUGCAAGGCUAGAGUGUGUCAGAGGGGGGUAGAAUUCCACGUGUAGCAGUGAAAUGCGUAGAGAUGUGGAGGAAUACCAAUGGCGAAAGCAGCCCCCUGGGAUAACACUGACGCUCAUGCACGAAAGCGUGGGGAGCAAACAGGAUUAGAUACCCUGGUAGUCCACGCCCUAAACGAUGUCAACUAGUUGUUGGUAGAGUAAAAUCUAUGAGUAACGUAGCUAACGCGUGAAGUUGACCGCCUGGGGAGUACGGUCGCA
rnacentral:rRNA from 1 species